rnacentral:tRNA from 1 species
CGGAACGAAGCUUAACAGUAAGCCCCUCCUUACACCGAGACUUUGUCUGUGCAAAUCAGGCCUUCCGGA